rnacentral:rRNA from 1 species
UGCGUAGGUUGAUGGGUAAGUCAGUGGUGAAAUACUCCGACUCAAUCGGAGAACUGCCGUUGAUACUAUCCAUCUUGAAUACGGUGGAGGCGGGCGGAAUGCGUCAUGUAGUGGUGAAAUACUUAGAUAUGACGCAGAACACCCAUUGCGAAGGCAGCUCGCUACACCGGCAUUGACACUGAGGCACGAAAGCGUGGGGAUCAAACG